AUGUGUCUGCAUGUACAUUUAAACUCUCAGUUCGUGAAAAUACCAAGCACGAGAAAAAUCAAAGAACUGAAAAUGCAAAAAAAAAAAAAAAACAACAACAACAACAACAACAACAAAAAAGGAGAUAGUGUCUGGGAUAAAAACUUGCCAAGCUUGUCUGUUCUUCCCAUGAAAACUAAUCAGCAGCACAGUACUGGAUAUGGAGAGCUAUAUUCUGAGUGAACCAAUUCACAUCAGACUGAAAACCAGAGGAAAUCAAAAGUCACAUGAAAAAAAGAACUUUUAUUAUUUCUAAAGAAAAAUGAAGCUAAAAUGUUACUUGCAAGGAAAAUUAUCAUGCUGUUUUCAGGCUAUGAAAAGUAUGAUGCUACAACCUGUAUCAAUAUUUUUUUGUACAGAAAGAAUGAGCCAGGGCUAGUUUUUUUUUCUGCCAUUCCAUUCAUUUGCAGGGUGCAUGAAAUGUUGAGCAUUUCCAUUAAUACUAGUAAUAUACCAGGUCCUAAUCCUCAUUCUGAUAAUUACCAUACAGCAUAAACACAGUAAAUUAACCUUGUCUUAAAUAACUUUUAAGUAUAUAUUUAUUCUACCUGUUCCUUUUCAUGUCUGAAGAAAUAAUGAGGUACAAAGAGACUAGAUGGUUUGCAUUAGGCAGUGCAAAAUACCUAUUUCACCACACUGUGCUGCAUUCUGGGCCCCACAUGUCAAGCUCAUGCUUUAACCAUAGCACUAUCCUUACCUUUCUCAACUUGAAAUUCUGUAAUGUUCUCCAGUGAUCUGAGCUAGAUAUUUUCACCCUCUGAAAGCAAGACAUUUUAACAGAAAAUUUACCAAACUCUCAAAAAUACACAUUUAAUGAGCUCUGAAGUUCAUGAGAGUCCUACUAGCUUUAUUGGAAUAUCAGUCUAGGAAAUUGAAUUUCCCUCUAAAGAAAAAUGUGAUAGUUUAGGGAAAAUAAUGAAAGAAAGGAAAGGGGAGAGGAGAGGAGAGGAGAGGAGAGGAGAGGA
rnacentral:lncRNA from 1 species